UGGAGAUUUUCCAUUCCCAUUUAGUGACUCCCACUGAAAAGUGUGACUUUGUGGCCAGAUUCCUGGUUGGGAAGCCUUCCCAUCGGCGAGCAGCCGGCUGCAGAAUGAAGAGCGGCCUUUGCAGUCAAGCAUUGAGAGACUUGGUACCUACACACUCGCAUGAGGCAGCGCCUUUAGGGAAUAGAAAACCGAUCUGGAGCGUGGGAAACAUUAUAAUCCAAUCUGCAUAGCCAGGGUUAAGCGUUCAAUGCUCUUUGCCAAUCGCCAGGAUUGGCUUUCGUUACCUUGCGUAUUAUGGAUAUCAGUCAGUAUUAUUCAGCAGCAAUGAGUCGAGACAAACACCUUUAACUGCCAAAGGUUCCCAGAGAUGCUGCCUGGCCUACUGAGUUCCCCCAGCAUUGUGUGUGUGUCGCUUGGAUUUCCAGCAUCUGCAGAUCUUCUCUUGUUGGAGAUGGUGCCAAUUACAGUGCUGAUUCUUAGUGGGAGAGUACACUUUGUGCAAGAGAAGCAUCAAUUAUUUCUGAGCUGAGAGGGAGUUUGGAUCAUUAUGAGAGAAUACAGGAACUCGCAGCAAGGAGGGCACACAGAGAGACGCAAUACAAAUCCAAUAAGGAGAUGAAGAGAGAAGAUGCCGGAGAGAAUCAGUCACAGGAUUCAACCUGGUGGGGGUGAUGCACCAUCCAUAACUCUCUCUGAGACGUAAAGGAAAGAAGCUGCACAGUGUCCACACCAGGACCACCAGACACAAAAAGAGUUACUUCCCCAAGAUCGUCAGGAUGAUCAACACCUCUGCCCACUAAACCAACCUGUCACACUCCCUACCACCAGAAAAAUAAAUCCGGAAUUUCAUCCAGAGUUGGACAUUUAUUGCCCAACCUGAAAUGCCCUCAAUAAGGUGAUGAUGAGCUGCCUGCUUGAAUGGUGGUGGUCUGAAGGGAAACGACACUGCUAUGAUAGCAAGUCCACUCCAGCAGAUGGUAAUUAUUCUCAGACAAUACUGAAUCAUCAGAGCUCAUUCCAAUAUCCUACACCACAACUAAUAAAUAACUGAUUAUCAAAACCCUUUUUGAAGGUGGUAACUUAUUUGGAUUCAUUGUGUUUUCUAUUCCUUGUACAUCAAAGAUGCCCCAGUGGAUCGUGUGACAAAUUGAAGCAACUCUACAUAUCUGCAAUUCUGCCAAAAAAAUAUAUAUAAAAAGGUAAAGCUUAUUUGUUCAAAACCUCAAUUUUUGUGUCCAGCUCCCCAUCAAAUUAUUUUCUGCAGCUCAAUUUUUAGAAGACUUUCAAUAUAUCUGCCAUUCAUCUAGUCUCAGAUGGAAAGUUCGCCCUUGUUACUUACUCUCAUUAUGACAAAGAAUGCUUAGUAUGAGAAUUUUUUUUUGUUUCUGACUCCUACUGUUAGUAAUAUUAGUACAUACAUUUACAACCAUCUCCUCAAUCAUCCAUACCAAACUGGAGUAACUGAUAUUGACCUACUGUCAAGAAACGUUUCUGAAAGAUGGAGAGAUGGACAGAGAGAGACAAACAGGAAGAGACAGAAAGAGACAGACAUAGAGAGUCAGACAGAUGGACAGAGAGACAGACAGGAAACCAUAUAAAUGGAGAAAAAAUGGGAGAUAGUGACAUAGGGAGAGAAAGAAUGAGAAGGUGGAGAGGAAACAAACCCAGAGUGAGUAAGUGUUUGGGGUGAGUACUGAAGCAAGAAAGAGUGUUAGAAAUUUUCAUAUCUUUUCUUUAACUCACACAAUCCCAUAGAGAUAAUCAUUAAAUAGUGCUGGCUAAAGGUCCAGGAAGUAUGUGGCUUAUGGGCUCACGUUUGCAAACUCUGAAUCUCAGUUUAAUAUCCUUUGACAUCUGUCGGUAGAAACCUUGAUAAAAUAGAUUAAACAGAAGUGAAAGGAACAAUUGAAAAGUCAUAUGACCUUUUCCUUGUUUAGUAUCUUUCAGCUUACAAUAUUUCCUUCCUUGGAUCCACACAGCCAUUUGA